GACGAACGCUGGCGGCGUGCCUAAUACAUGCAAGUUGAGCGCUGAAGGUUGGUACUUGUACCAACUGGAUGAGCAGCGAACGGGUGAGUAACGCGUGGGGAAUCUGCCUUUGAGCGGGGGACAACAUUUGGAAACGAAUGCUAAUACCGCAUAAAAACUUUAAACACAAGUUUUAAGUUUGAAAGAUGCAAUUGCAUCACUCAAAGAUGAUCCCGCGUUGUAUUAGCUAGUUGGUGAGGUAAAGGCUCACCAAGGCGAUGAUACAUAGCCGACCCGAGAGGUUGAGCGGCCACAUUGGGACUGAGACACGGCCCAAACGCCUACGGGAGGCAGCAGUAGGGAAUCUUCGGCAAUGGACGAAAGUCUGACCGAGCAACGCCGCGUGAGUGAAGAAGGUUUUCGGAUCGUAAAACUCUGUUGGUAGAGAAGAACGUUGGUGAGAGUGGAAAGCUCAUCAAGUGACGGUAACUACCCAGAAAGGGACGGCUAACUACGUG
rnacentral:rRNA from 1 species